CGAGUUUACCACUCCCAAACCCCUGUGAACACACCAUUACCGUUGCUUCGGUGGACCACCCCGACCCCUACGGGGCGAAGGGCCCGCCAGAGGACACCUAAAAUUCAAAUGUAUUUUGGCCUGAAAAUUUUAUUUUGAGUGGAAUUUUUAAAUAAAUCAAAACUUUCAACAACGGAUCUCUUGGCUCUGGCAUCGAUGAAGAACGCAGCGAAAUGCGAUAAGUAAUUUGAAUUGCAGAAUUCAGUGAACCAUCGAAUCUUUGAACGCACAUUGCGCCCGCCAGUAUUCUGGCGGGCGUGCCUGUUCGAGCGUCAUUUCAACCCUCAGGCCCCCGGGCUUGGUUUUGGGGACCGGCACAAGGCGCUGGCACCUCCGGGAGCCGCGCGCCCGCCGUCCCCCCAAUCCAGUGGCGGUUCGCGCCGUGUGUACCUCAGCGUAGUAGCAACGACUCGCUCCGGGACCCUCCUGCGAACCACGCCGUAAACCCCCGACUUUUUUCGGUG
rnacentral:misc_RNA from 1 species